GCACCCGUAGUAAAACGGAUAUUACGUCGGCCUCCGAAGCCGAAGGUCCAGGUUCGAUUCCUGGCGGGUGCA
rnacentral:tRNA from 1 species